rnacentral:rRNA from 1 species
UNGGGAGCUCUCCCAUAUGGUCGACCUGCAGGCGGCCGCGAAUUCACUAGUGAUUAGAGUUUGAUCCUGGCUCAGAUUGAACGCUGGCGGCAGGCCUAACACAUGCAAGUCGAACGGUAACAGGAAGCAGCUUGCUGCUUUGCUGACGAGUGGCGGACGGGUGAGUAAUGUCUGGGAAACUGCCCGAUGGAGGGGGAUAACUACUGGAAACGGUAGCUAAUACCGCAUAACGUCGCAAGACCAAAGAGGGGGACCUUAGGGCCUCUUGCCAUCGGAUGUGCCCAGAUGGGAUUAGCUAGUAGGUGGGGUAACGGCUCACCUAGGCGACGAUCCCUAGCUGGUCUGAGAGGAUGACCAGCCACACUGGAACUGAGACACGGUCCAGACUCCUACGGGAGGCAGCAGUGGGGAAUAUUGCACAAUGGGCGCAAGCCUGAUGCAGCCAUGCCGCGUGUAUGAAGAAGGCCUUCGGGAUGUAAAGUACUUUCAGCGGGGAGGAAGGGAGUAAAGUUAAUACCUUUGCUCAUUGACGUUACCCGCAGAAGAAGCACCGGCUAACUCCNUGCCAGCAGCCNCGNUAAUACGGANGGUGCAAGCGUUAAUCGNAAUUACUGGGCGUAAAGCGCACGCANGCGGUUUGUUAAGUCNNAUGUGAAAUCCCCGGGCUCAACCNUGNGAACUGCAUCU